UAAUAUACCUAAAAAAGAAUACUUAGAAUUUGAAGAUCAUGCAGAAAUCAUAAUAGGAUAAACCCCAAUACCUAAACAACAUAAAAAAAAUACCAAACUAAAAUCAAAUGAAUGAAAAUUAGUAACAUAAGGUAUUUAGAUCCGAAGGGCA